rnacentral:lncRNA from 1 species
GUGCGCGGCGGGUAGGGAAGCGUCCCGCCCCCUCGCGGAUCAUAGAGUUUGACGACGCGUCUUAGUCUUAGAGAGGCUGACGCUUCGGCUCCUAAACUGUGGAGGCCGCAGGGAGUGGGACCGUGGCGUCCCGCUGAGGGGCGCCGGAGGCAACGGGGUCGCACGGAAUCGCUGUGCCGCUCCUGCACCGGCCUCGACUUCAGACACUUAAACUUCAAGGUAGCUUCCUUUUAAGGAACCUGUGCAUCAGAGUUGAAGAGAGGUUACAAGCCAUGCACAUAAGGAAUGGAUUUCACCAAUCAUUCAAACACCCCCUUUUCUGCAUACUCUGCACAAUAUGUCACUCACGUACAGAACCUGUGGAGGCCCUGCUCAGAGCAGAAAGUGGUCCCCAAAUUCCUUGGCCAACUGAGUUCAGCUAGUGGAAAGGUGUUUGAAUGGUGAAGAAGGAUUGAGGAUCAUGAAGGAAACAUCACCAAAUCUUUAUCCUUUGUCUCCAAAUGAGGGACAGCAGGCCAGUUCUUCAGGGCUUCAGAGCCCCCAGCUGGGACAGAGAGGCAAUGGCCAUCUCAAAUGAGUGACAAGACUCAGGAGGAGAGGGUAAGGGAGUUAUACGGCUUUGGUCAGAGAAGAACCCAACAGAGAUUAGAUGUUUAUUUUUACUUCAUUUUUCCCCCUUCUGUACCCCCUCCCUAAGGGUUCCCCAGAGUUGGAAUGACCCUCUCCCUUUCGCCAGGCCCUGGGGCAUUUUGUUCAGUGUCUGAGCCCCCAGCUCAUGCCCUGCUCCCACAUCAUCCUUAUGGAGGGAGGUGAGGCAGAGAGGGUUCCAUCAAUGUCAUUGCAAAUGGCAAGAUUUCAUUCCUUUUUAUGGCUGAGUAAUAUUCCAUUAUAUAUAUAUGUGUGUAUGUGAUAUAUAUAUAUCACAUCUUCUUUAUGGACACUUGGGCUGCAUCCAUAUCUUGGCUUUAUAAAUAAUGCUGUUAUAAGCAUAGGGGUGCAUGUAUUCCUUUGAAUUAAUGUUUUUAUAUUCUUUAGGUAAAUACCCCAGGAGGGUGAUUCCUGGAUCAUAGGUUAGGUCUAUUUUUAACUUUUUAAGAAACCACCAUACUGUUUUCCACAGUGCCUGCACCAGUUUGCAUUCCCACCAACAGUGCACAGUUCCUUUUUCUCCACAUCUUCACCAACAUCUGUUGUUUCUUGUGUUCUUGAUUUUAGCCAUUCUGACAGGUAUGAGGUGAUAUUACAUUGUAGUUUUGACUUGUGUUUCCCCGAGGAUGAGUGAUACUGGGCAUCUUUUCAUGUAUCUGUUAGCCAUCUGGAUGUCUUCUUUGGAAAAAUAGAGACGGGUGAGGGAGAAAGAGGAGGAGGAAGAGGACAAGGACAAGCCAACUUCACGCUGAGCUCAGAGCUCAACUUAGAGCUCUAUCACAGGACCCUGAGAUCAUGAGCUGAGCUGAAACCAAGAGUGAGGCACUUAACUGAGCCACCCAGUUGUCUGAGUACUGUGGCUAGUACAGUCCAGUACUAUGUCGAAUAGAAGUGGUGAGAGUGGACAUCUUUGUCUUCCUGACUAUAGAGGAAAAGCUUUUAGUUUUUCUCCAUUGAGGCUGAUGUUAGCUGUGAGUUUUUAAAAUACAACCUUUAUUAUAUUGAGGUUAAAUUCUUGCUCAGAGUCCGAUUGCUCCCAUCUGGCACUGCCAGAGUGUGGGUGAGGGAGGCUGAACUGGGAGUUAAGCGAGGCCCUGCUACCUCCAGGCCCCUGCUCUGUGCACAGGUGCAGAACCUACUUAUGUGUCAGAUGGGCCUCAUGGACAAUGAGGUAUCCCUGUGGCCAGAGCUCGUGCUUCGGGCAUACAGGAUGCCGUGUAUGAAAUGCUGAUGACGUGGCUCAACAAAAUGGGGCAAGGUGCCUCAGUCAACAUCCCACUGGAUGCCUCGGAAAUGUUAGGGAAAAGAUAUGCGAAGGAGAGAAUUCAGGAGCACCUGGUGGGCUCUGGAAAGUGCAUCUAUGAAGAAGAUGGGACAGCUCUGCUGUAUCCUGAGUGGAAAGAAUCUUUUUAGGAAUCUGAGCUUCCCUGGUUUACCUUUCUUCUUGAAGGGGAAGCAUGAAUAGACACCAGCCUGGAAGAAAGAGUAGAUUCUUGACAAAUACUUGGAGAAAUUGUAAUUAAAAACAUACAGCUCUUGGAAUGUUCUAGAACUUUUUUUAAUGCACUUGGAAUAAUUUUUAUGAAAUGUUGGGUGUGAUAAAUGAAUUGUGGAAAAAUUCUAUGUGGAUUAUAGUUACAGCUAUUUUAUUGUGUUUCAUUUUAUUGCACAUCAAAGAUGUGUAAAGGUUUGUGGAAACCCUGAGUUGAGCAAGUCUGUUGGUGUCAUUUUUCCAACAUUUGCUGACUUCGAAUCUCUGAAGCAUAUUUUGAUAAUUCUUGCAAUGUUUCAAACCUAUUUAUUAUUAUUAUAUUAUGUUAUUGUUUGAUCAGUGAUGUUUGAUUGUAAUUGUUUCAAGGUGCCAUGAAUUGUGCCCAUAUAAGAUUGUGAAUUUAAUUGAUAAAUCAUAUGUGUUUUCUGACUGGUCUACCAGCUAACCCUAAAAUGGCCUCUAAGUGUUCAAGUGAAAGGAAGAGUCACAUGUCUCUCACUCUAAAUCAAUUCAGCUAGAAUGCUUAAGCUUAGUGAGGAAGGCACGUUGAAAGCUGAGAUAGGCCAAAAGCUAGGCCACACAACAAAUAGCCAGGUUGUGAAUGCAAAGGAAAAGUUGUUUAAGGAAAUUAAAAGUGCCUUCCAGUGAACACAUGAAUGAAAAGAAAGCCAAACAGCCUUAUUGCUGAUGUGGAGAAAGUCUGAGUGGUCUGCAUAGAUGAAACCAGCCAGGACAUUCUGUUAAGCCAAAGCCUAUCCUGAGCAAGGUCCUGACUCUCCUCAGUUCUGUGAAGGUUGAGAGCAGUGAGGAAGCUGCAGGAGAAUAGGUGGAAGCUGCCAGAGGUGGGUUCAUGAGGUUUAAGGCCAGAAGCUGUCUCUACCACAACCCAGUGCAAGGUGAAGCAGCCAGUGCUGGUGUAGACACUGCAGCACAUUCUCCAGGAGAUCCAGCCAGGAUAAGUGAUGAAGGAGGCUACACUGAACAACACAUUUCCAAUGUAGAAAAAAUGGUCUCUAUCAGGAGAAGAUGCCAGCUAGGACUUUCAUAGCUAGAGAGAGGAGAAGUCAGUGCCUGGCUUCAAAGCCUCAAGGAACAGCCCAAACCCCUCCUUAGGGGCUAAUGCUGCGGGUGCCUUGACGUUGAAGCCAGGGCUCGUUGAUCAUUCUGAAAAUCCCAGGGUCCCGAAGAAUUAUGCUAAGUCCACUCUGCCCUGUGCUCUGUGAACAGAACAACAAACCCUGGAUGAUGGCAUUUCAGAUCACAACAUGGUUUAUUGAAUAUUUUAAGUCCAUUGUUGAGAUCUACCGCUCAGAAAAAAAUAUUCUUUUCAAAAUACGACUGCUUAUUAACAAUGCAUCUGGUCACACGUGAACUCUGAUGGAGACGUAUAAUGAGAUGAAUGUUGUUUUCUGCUCACAUAGCAUCCAUUCUGCAGCUUAGAGAUCAAGGAGUCAUUAGACUUUCAAGUCUUAUUAUUUAAGAAAUACAUUCUGUAAGGCUGUUGCUGCCAUACAUAGCGAUUCUUCUGAAGGAUUUGGGCAAAAUCAAUUGAAAACCUUCUGGCAAGGAUUCACCAUUCUAAGUGGGUGCCAUUAAGAAUAUUUGUGAUUCAUGGGAAGAAGUCAAAAUAUCAACAUGAACAGGGGUUUGGAAGAAUUUGAUUACAACCUGCAUGGAUGACUUUGAUGGGUUCAAGACUUCAGAGGAGGAAGUGUGGGGGAAAGAGCAAGAGGAGUAGAACUGGAGGUAGAGCCUAAAGAUGGAACCGAAUGGCUGCCAUCUCAUGAUCAGAUGAGGAGUUGCUGCUUGUGGAUGAGUAAAGAAAGUGGUUUCUUGAGAUGGAAUCUACUCCUGAGAAGACUUUGGGAAGAUUGUUGAGAUGACAACAAAAGAUUUAGAGCAUUGAGUAAACUCAGUCGAUAGAACAGCGGCAGGUUGGACAGGACCGACUCCAAUUUUGUUACAAGUUCUGUUGUGAGUAAAAUGCUAUCAGACAGCAUCGCGUGCUACAGAGAAAUUGGAAGAGUCAAUCAACACAGCCAACUCCAUCGGUGUCUUAUUUUAAGAAAUUGCCACAGCCAUUCCCACCUUCAGCAGCCACCACCCUGAUCAGUCAGCAGCCACCAACAUCGAGGCAAGCGCCUCCGCCAGCAAAAAGAUUACAACUCGCUGAGAGCUCAGAUGAUGGUUAGCAUUUUUUUUUAGCAAUAAAGUGUUUUUUAAUUUAAUACAUGGCUUUUUAAAACAUAAGGCUAUUGCACAUUUAAUAGACUACAGUAUAGUGCAGACACAACUUUUGAAUGCACUUGGAAACCAAAGAAUUCAUUUGACCCACUUUAUUGUGAUACUUGCUUUAUUGGGUUUCUCUGGAAGCAAACUUGCAGUGUCUCCGAGGUGUGCCUGAAUAUGCUCAUGUGUGGCCUGCAAGUUGUUUUAGUGUGUCUUUCUUUUUGAUUCAUGGGCCUUCUUCAUCCUAAUAGAAUUGCACUUGCUACUUGUAUUUGUUAUAUCGUAAGAUGCAAUCAUGUUGGCAUGUGUGCAUUUACUUAUAUCUAACUAUUACUAGAGGAUGUGCAUCUUCCUAUUUUUGUAUAUGUUUAUAUGAGUGCGUAGAACUUUUUGAAAUGUACUUAUUAGUUUGAUUACAUGGAUUACCUUAAUGGGAGCAGCCAAUCAUAAAAUGAGUUCGCAUACAAAGGGAGAAGGUGAAACAGCCCACCUCUGGGGAUGGGGAUGGCAGGUUCCAAUUCUCCUUCAUAUGCCCUUUUCCAGAAUCAGAUGACCAGAAACUCCUGAAGUGCUCACUCUUUUCAACAUGAUAAUUACGUGGGCGUAUGAAUAUGUAUAUUACUCAUAAGCUGAUGUUUCCAAGUAAGGAGAGUGAGGAGAAACAGUGUCCUCGUGCAGCCCUGUGUCUGGGUGCCCUGGGCAGGAACGUGAGGGCCUCGUCCUUGCCUAUAGAUGUGGGCAGGUUGGGAGACGGGUUAGCUCUGAGGUGGCAAAUAGGUUCUAUGUCACGUGUCAUUGCAGAUCACAUGAGUGGACCCUCAGCCCCAUCUUCAUCUUCAGCCCCCUUUCCACCCUACCUGUAUUCCAGUCAUGGCGGGAUGAUGUUAUAGAAGUUAUUCUCAGGGUUCUCCAGCUUUCUCAUCUCAAAGGUCUGGGAGUGCCCAGACUGGAUCCAUUGGCUGGGCCCAAAUGGAGUUGCCUGAACACUCAGGCAGUCAGGGUACUGGUGCUCAAGUGGGGGCACAACCCUCACGGCCUUGCUGCUCCCCUCCCUCCUGCUUCCUUCCAGAGGUGCCCGCCUGCCCCUUCCCUUUCCUGGGAGACUUGGGGUUUCCUGCCUCUGCUGUCCCUUCUAUGUGGAGCGCUUGCAUCUGUAGAAGGGGCCGUGAAUUUUUGCCAGUCAGCGUUCAGCUCACCUGCAGUCCCUUUGUCAGAGUCCUUGAGUGCCCAGCCACGGUAUUAGCCUUAUCAGUGUUUGUCACGCUUACUCAUUUAAGGUAAGCUGCAUCAGGGCAUGGGGCGGAUCCAGUCCAAAUGGCACGUGGCCCUCAACAGGCACUUAAGUGUUUCAUUGGCGAUCGGUGUCCUUUCAUGCUUCUCUCCAGUGGGAGGGCCACCUUUGAGGAGGUUGUUGGACAUAUCAAACAAUACAAGGAAGGCCAUUAGGUACAAAAUACUCAUGUAUUUAUGAAUUCAUGACCAAAUUAAAUAUGAAAC